CAGGCCUAACACAUGCAAGUCGAACGUGUGCCACUUUCUUCGGAUUUUGACAUGAGUGGCGGACGGGUGAGUAACGCGUAAGAAUCUACCUUUAGGAGGGGGGCAACAGUUGGAAACGACUGCUAAUUCCCCAUAAGCUGAGGAGUGAAAGGAAUUUCGCCUAGAGAUGAGCUUGCGUCUGAUUAGCUAGUUGGUAAGGUAAUGGCUUCCCAAGGCAAUGAUCAGUAGCUGGUCUGAGAGGACGAUCAGCCACACUGGGACUGAGACACGGCCCAGACUCCUACGGGAGGCAGCAGUGAGGAAUUUUCCGCAAUGGGCGCAAGCCUGACGGAGCAAUACCGCGUGGAGGACGACGGCCUGUGGGUCUUAAACUCCUUUUCUUAGAGAAGAAGUUCUGACGGUAUCUAAGGAAUAAGCAUCGGCUAACUCCGUGCCAGCAGCCGCGGUAAUACGGGGGAUGCAAGCGUUAUCCGGAAUGAUUGGGCGUAAAGCGUCUGUAGGUGGCUUCUCAAGUCGGCUGUCAAAAAUCAGGGCUUAACCUUGAGCCGGCAGUUGAAACUAAGAAGCUUGAGUUAGGUAGGGGCAGAGGGAAUUCCUAGUGUAGCGGUGAAAUGCGUAGAUAUUAGGAAGAACACCAAUCGCGAAAGCA
rnacentral:rRNA from 1 species